UCACACACACAGCCAACACCGACAACACAACAGCACACACAUCAAAAACACACACAACACACAGCCACACCACAACACAUUCCCAACCACACGCAGCAACAUACACCACACACAUCCCACAACAUAGCAUCACACACAAAUCACGCACAAACCGCAUCAACAGCCCACUCGCCACAACUCACAAAAGCAAACUACCACCAAUGGCCAGCCAUGCCUCCCACACCCUGGUCUGGUAAGGGCAUCGGCUCACACACAGAUCCAAAGCGCACAGUGAACGCAUAGUCUUAUCCCCCCAGGAUUGUAAUAAGACACCAGACUCGUCUCCUACGGGAGGGUGCAGUAUGGCAUGUAAGUCAAUCAGGUAGAACCUGACCCAGACAAAUGGGGUGAGGGAAGACAGUCCUUGGAAAUGCAAAAUUUUAUAAAACGGGAAUAACGGGAGAUGAGAGUUUUCCCUUUGCCGUACUGUUAGCAUAAGCAUCGGGCUACUCUGGUGCCGCAGCCGCGGUUAAUUGGUGGAUCCCAACGUUCGUCGGAUUUUUGGGUUUAAAGGGUGCCUAGGUUCUUUGGUAAGUGAGUGGUGUUACCUGAGGGGUCAACGUUAAACUAGCCGUUGAAACCUGCGGGCUUUAGUUCAGUGACGGCAGGCGGAAUUCGUGGCGAAGCGGUGAAAUGCAUAGAUAUCACGAGGAACUCCGAUGGCGAAGGCAGCUUUCCAUACUGUGACUGACACUGAAGCUCGAAGGCGUGGGUAUCAAACAGG
rnacentral:rRNA from 1 species